UACGAAGGUGGCAAGCGUUACUCGGAAUUACUAGGCGUAAAGGGCAGGUAGGUGGUCUGGUAAGUCUGUUGUGAAAGCUCCUUGCUUAACGGGGAGAGGUCAACAGAUACUGCCAGGCUUGAGUCUAGGAGAGGGUACUGGAAUUCCCGGUGUAGCGGUGAAAUGCGCAGAGAUCGGGAGGAACACCAAUGGCGAAAGCAGGUACCUGGACUAGUACUGACACUCAGCUGCGAAAGCUA
rnacentral:rRNA from 1 species